rnacentral:rRNA from 1 species
UACGGAGGGUGCGAGCGUUGUCCGGAAUUAUUGGGUUUAAAGGGUGCGUAGGCGGAUUUUUAAGUCAGCGGUAAAAUGUCCGGGCUCAACCCGGGCCGGCCGUUGAAACUGGGGAUCUUGAGUGGGCGAGAAGUAUGCGGAAUGCGUGGUGUAGCGGUGAAAUGCAUAGAUAUCACGCAGAACUCCGAUUGCGAAGGCAGCAUACCGGCGCCCGACUGACGCUGAGGCACGAAAGCGUGGGGAUCGAACAGG